ACCUGGUUGGCUCAGUUGGUUUAAGCAUCUGACUUUGGCUCAUGAUCAUGGUCUCAGGUCAUGGGUUCAAGCCCCACAUCAGGCU
rnacentral:tRNA from 1 species